CUUGGAUUGAAGGGAGCUCUA
rnacentral:miRNA from 3 species